AACGAACGCUGGCGGCAUGCCUAACACAUGCAAGUCGAACCGAGACCUUCGGGUCUAGUGGCGCACGGGUGCGUAACGCGUGGGAAUCUGCCCUUGGGUUCGGAAUAACUCGCCGAAAGGCGUGCUAAUACCGGAUGAUGUCGUAAGACCAAAGAUUUAUCGCCCAGGGAUGAGCCCGCGUAAGAUUAGGUAGUUGGUGAGGUAAUGGCCUACCAAGGCGACGAUCUCUAGCUGGUCUGAGAGGAUGAUCAGCCACACUGGGACUGAGACACGGCCCAG
rnacentral:rRNA from 1 species